rnacentral:lncRNA from 1 species
GGCGUGGUGGUGCACGCCUUUAAUCCCAGCACUUGGGAGGCAGAGGCAGGAGGAUUUCUGAGUUUGAGGCCAGCCUGGUCUACAAAGUGAGUGCCAGGACAGCCAGGGCUACAGAGAAACUCUGUCUCGAAAAACCAAAAAAAAAAAAAGAAUUUAAACUGGAGAGGGCUCUUUCAAACUCCAAACCCCACUGUGGCUCUGUAGUCCUGGCCAAGCACCUUAUAGUAUACUACGUACCAGGCCAGAAAGUACCCUGAGCCCUCACAGCCCUCCUGCCUGCCUGCCUGCCAACUCCACCCCCUCUCUCUCUAGCCCCCGCCCAUCCUCUAUCCCCAGCCCACCUAGCUCCCUUUAUUAGCUCCACCGGGCUCCCCCCUCCAAAGGUGAGGGGCACUUCUGCCACUGUCCACCUGCUCUGUGAUGCUCCCAGGAUUUGCAAUGGUGUUUGUCUGUCUUCCUACUUGCCCAUGAGCACAGGCAGGCUGUGGGCUGUUCUUUUUCACCCCCAUGCCCCAGCCCCAGCCCCAGCCGUGUGCAUGGCACAGAGCAGGUGCAGAAGAUGAGACUGAAGGCUUCUGCAGAAGGACCACUGAGGAUGUCCCAGGCCACUGGAGAGACAUCCAGUUGCCCUAGAAAGCCCUCGUGACUUCAGAACAGCCAGGCACCCAGUAGGUGCACAACAAAGACAGGUAGAUCCACUGAAGAUAAACAGGUCAGGGAAGCGGGAGAGAAAUCACAAAGCCCCCAAGGAAACUAAAUAUUUAUUAAAUACCUGUGGUUUUUUUCUCUUAGCACAUUUGAUGCAAUUUUUUAAACCUUAAUUUGAUGAAGUAAGUAUUAACCUUCCACAUCUUUUUUUCUUUCUUUUGUUUUUUUGGUUUUGUUUUUUUUUUUUCCGAGACAGGGUUUCUCUAUGUAGCCCUGGCUGUCCUGGAACUCACUCUGUAGACCAGGCUGGCCUCGAACUUAGAAAUCUGCCUGCCUCUGCCUCCCAAGUACUGGGAUUAAAUACUCUUCCACAUCUUCUACACAAGUUAAGUAUGGCUCAGAGAGAGGUAAAGUGGCUUGCCCUGGACACCCAGCUACUGUGUGAAGAAGCAGAGGUUUCUGCAUACAGGUCAAGGAUGGAAGAGGAGCUAAGGAAUGGAGGGGGUGGGGCUUACCUGGCGAGCCUAGGAGGAUGUGCACAAGGUCCUCAUAGAGGAUGAGGGUGGCUGGCCUCUCUGGGAGCAGGUAGAGGCUGACGGAUGCGUACACUGUAAAACAGGCAGCCUGUCAGCUCUAGAAGCAUUUCCUAGGUACCCCCUUGUCUUCAUCCCAGUGGCUUCAUCCUCCCACGACCCAGUAUGCCCCAGCCCAGGAGCAGCUGCUGGGAAACUGCCCUUCCACCCGCAAGGACUAUUUUGGGAAGGGGCUGAUGGUGGGUCAGCUGCUGUCCAACCCGCUCCUCCCCCCCUCCCCCUGCCCCUGCACUCACACGGCAGCUUGUCAACACGCCAGGGCACUGAGUUGGUGAGGAAACCGGGGCGGGCAGCAGUGACCAAGACCCAGGUACCCAGGCGGUAACUGAGGGGUAGUGUGGCCACGCCCUCUGAGUCCGUAGUACCAGCAGCCAGAAGAGUGCGGUUCCCAAAGACGUCUACUGAGGCCCUGGCCAGGGGCACCAGCUCCCCGCUCACAUAUACCUGUACCUUGAUCAGGAUCUCUGUGGGAAGACGGGGUGAGGGGAUGAGGAGUGAGGGAGGGGGCUGCUGGGGGAGAGAGGCUUGGGGGCUGACUCCUGGGGAUCAAAUGUAGGGCCUCUGUCUGUGAGUUGUGCUCUCUGCCAAAAUCAGCAGAGGAGGAGAGAGGGCUAUUUAUCCCCUUUUUACCAGCGCUAGCCCAUGCAUACUUUCACAAUUCUAAACUUGGGCAAUGCCUGUGAUGGGUGAUGUCAUCGUUAUAAUUGACAGCAUUCCCCACUCCCCACCCCCAUUCUUAAUGGCUCACAAAAUAGGAAUAUACUUUGCAGCCAGUGAAAUGCUAUAUUUGCUAAAAUAUGCCCUCAGCCCAUUUUACAGAUAAAGAAAGUGAGGCUUAGAAGGCGUUAAGUCCUUGUACUGCAGUUAAGUGAGAAAUCUGAGCUCUGAACCUAGUAGUCUACUUCUAGAGUUAAAAAAUGUUAGCCAGUCUACCCUAAAAGAACAAUGGUCUGAAGAGGAGAAGAGAGACCAAGAAAGAAUGAGCCCUGGGAGAAUGGGGAGCCUCAGGUGGAGGGGGAGAGGGCAAGAUCGAGUAACCUAGAGGAAAGAUGGAAGCUUGAGUUCUCAAGG